CCCGGGCAAUGUCAAUCAUCCCGGGGUCAGUCGGGUCCUAAGUCUCAGCCGAACGGCGAGGGCGAUGGCAGACACGGUCAACAUUCCGUGACUACCGUGGGCAGCGAUGCGGAGACGGAGCAGUGAA
rnacentral:rRNA from 1 species